CCUACGGGUGGCAGCAGUGAGGAAUAUUGGUCAAUGGGCGAGAGCCUGACCCAGCAACGCCGCGUGAAGGAAGAAGGCUUUCGGGUUGUAAACUUCUUUUGACAGGGAAGAGCAGAAGACGGUACCUGUCGAAUAAGCCACGGCUAACUACGUGCCAGCAGCCGCGGUAAUACGUAGGUGGCAAGCGUUGUCCGGAUUUACUGGGUGAAAAGGGCGUGUAGCCGGGCUAACAAGUCAGAUGUGAAAUCCGGGGCUCAACCCCCCAACUGCAUUUGAAACUGUUGGUCUUGAGUAUCGGAGAGGCAGGCGGAAUUCCUAGUGUAGCGGUGAAAUGCGUAGAUAUUAGGAGGAACACCAGUGGCGAAGGCGGCCUGCUGGACGACAACUGACGGUGAGGCGCGAAAGCGUGGGGAGCAAACAGGAUUAGAUACCCCUGUAGUC
rnacentral:rRNA from 1 species